rnacentral:lncRNA from 1 species
UGGGCAUAUGUUUUGUAGAAAGAAUUAAACUCUCUUGCUUCAUUUAUAUCUAUUUAGAGAGAUGACAGGAAUUGGUCAUUCACAUGGUUAGUCAAAAAAUCCUACAUAAACUUGUAGAUCGCUGAAUAUGAUAUGUUUGAUUCCUUGCAAUAGUUUUGCGAUAUAAAGAUGGUGAUAUUAGAGUCAUGCUAGUGGCUGGUUGUGGAUUGUAGAGACACUUGUGUUGAGGUUUGCAAGUCCCGUAGCAUGCACGUAUGGUAACCGUUGUGUGACAAAUUUCAAGCAUGGGGUGUUUCUUUGAUUGUCUUCCUUAUGAGUGGCAGUCAGGUACGAGUGAUGGUCUUUUCCUAUGAAUCUAUACCCCUAGGGGCAUGCGUAGUAGUACUUUGCUUCGAGGGCUAAUAAACUUUUGCAAUAAGUAUGUGAGUUCUUUAUGACUAAUGUGAGUCCAUGGAUUAUACGCACUUUUACCUUUCCAUCAUUGCUAGCCUCUUCGGUACCGUGCAUUGCCCUUUCUCACUUUGAGAGUUGGUGCAAGCUUCGCCGGUGCAUUCAAACCCCGUGAUAUGAUACGCUCUAUCACACAUAAGCCUCAUUAUAUCUUCCUCAAAACAGACACCAUACCUACCUAUCAUGGCAUUUCCAUAGCCAUUCCGAGAUAUAUUGCCAUGCAACUUCCAUCAUCAUCAUAUACAUGACUUGAGCAUUUAUUGUCAUAUUGCUUUGCAUGAUCGUAAGAUAGCUAGCAUGAUGUUUUCAUGGCUUGUCCGUUUUUUAUGUCAUUGCUACGCUCGAUCAUUGCACAUCCUGGUACAUCGCCGGAAGCAUUCAUAUAGAGUCAUAUCUUUGUUCGAGAUAUCGAGUUGUAAUAUUGAGUUGUAAGUAAAUAAAAGUGUGAUGAUCAUCAUUAUUAGAGCAUUGCCCCAGUCAUGAAAGGAAGAAGGAUACUAUGAUUCCCCCACAAGUCGGGAUGAGACUCCGGACUUUAUGAAAAAUAAAAGAGGCCAAAGAAGCCCAAAUAAAAAAAGAGGCCAAAGAAGCCCACCAAAAAGAAAGAAAGAAAUAAAAAAACGAAAAUGAAAAAAAAAUGAAAAAGAAAAAGAAAAAAAAUGAGAGAAAAAGAGAGAAGGGGCAAUGUUACUAUCCUUGUACCACACUUGUGCUUCAGAGUAGCACCAUGUUCUUCAUAGGGAGAGCCUCCUAUGCUCUCACUUUCAUAUACUAGUGGGAAUUUUCAUUGUAGAACUUGGCUUGUAUAUUCCGAUGAUGGGCUUCCUCAAACGCCCGAGGUCUUCAUGAGCAAGCAAGUUGGAUGCACACCCACUUAGUUUCCAGUUUGAGCUUUCAUACACUUAUAGCUCUUAGUGCAUCCGUUGCAUGGCAAUCCCUACUCACUCACAUUGAUAUCUAUCGAUGGGCAUCUCCAUAGCCCGUUGAUACACCUAGUUGAUGUGAGACUAUCUUCUCCCUUUUUGUCCUCACCACCAUAUACCACCAUAGUGCUAUAUCCAUGGCUUGCGCUCAUGUAUUGCGUAAGAGUUGAAAAAGCCGAAGCACGUUAAAAAGUAUGAACCAAUUGCUCGGCUCGUCAUCGGGGUUGUGCAUGAUGGGAGUAUUUUGUGUGACGAAGAUGGAGCACAUCCAGACUAUAUGAUUUUGUAGGGAUGAGCUUUCUUUGGCUAUGUUAUUUUGAUAAGACAUAAUUGCUUGGUUGGUAUACUUGAAGUAUUAUUGUUUUUAUGUCAAAUGAUAGACUAUUGCUUUGAAUCACUCGUGUCUUAAUAUUCAUGCCAUGAUUAUACAUAUGAUCAAGAUUAUGCUAGGUAGCAUUCCACAUCAAAAAUUAUGUUUUUUAUCAUUUACCUACUCGAGGAUGAGUAGGAAUUAAGCUUGGGGAUGCUGAUACGUCUCCGUCGUAUCUAUAAUUUUUGAUUGUUUCAUGCCAAUAUUCUUCAACUUUCAUACACUUCUGGCAACUUUUUAUAUUAUUUUUGGGACUAACAUAUUGAUCCAGUGCCUAGUGCCAGUUCUUGUCUGUUGCAUGUUUUAUGUUUCGCAGAAAACCAAUAUCAAACGGAAUCCAAAUGGGAUAAAAAUGGACGGAGAAUUAUUUUGGAAUAUUUGGGAUUUUCCGGAGGAAGAAUCAACGCGAAACGGUGUCCGGGGUGGCCACGAGACAGGGGGGCGCGCCCUCCCCCCCCCCCUAGGCGCGGCCUGGGCUCUCGUGGGCCACCCGUAAGGUGGUUGAUGCUCUUCUUUUGGCGCAAGAAAGCUAAUUUUAUGAGAAAGCUCUGGGCGAAAGAUUCACCCCAAUCGGAGUUACGGAUCUCCAUAUAUAAAGGAAACGGUGAAGGGUAGAACCCGGGAACGCAGAAACAGAGAGAUAGAUCCGAUCUCAGAGGGGCUCUCGCCCCUCCCAAGCCAUGGGAGCCAAGGACCAGAAGGUAAACCCUUCUCCCAUCUAGGGAGAAGGUCAACUAAGAAGAAGAAGAAGGGGGGCCCUCUCCCCCUUGCUUCCGGUGGCGCCGGAGCGCUGACGGAGGCCAUCAUCAUCACCGCGAUCUUCACCAACACCGCCGUCAACUUCACCAACAUCUCCAUCACCUUCCCCCUUAUAUAUCCAGCGGUCCACUCUCCCGCAACCCACUGUACACUCUACUUGAACAUGGUGCUUUAUGCUUCAUAUUAUUAUCCAAUGAUGUGUAGCCAUCCUAUGAUGUCUGAGUAGAUUUUCGUUGUCCUAUUGGUGGUUGAUGAAUUGCUACGAUUGAUAUAAUUUGCUUGUGGUUAUGUUGCUGUCCUAUUGUGCCCUCCGUGUCCCGCAAGCGUGAGGGAGUGCCUCUGUAGGGUGUUGCAAUAUGUUCAUGAUUCGCUUAUAGUGGGUUGCUUGAGUGACAGAAGCAUAAACCCGAGUAAGGGGAUUGUUGCGUAUGGGAUAAAAGGGGACUUGAUGCUUUAAUGCUAUGGUUGGGUUUUACCUUAAUCAAUCUUUAGUAGUUGAGGACGCUUUCUAGAGUUCCAAUCAUAAGUGCAUAUGAUCCAAGAAGAGAAAAUAUGUUAGCUUAUACCUCUCCCACAUAAAACUUGCUAUCGGUCUAGUAACGUAGUCAAUUUCUUAGGGACACUUCCAUAACUCCUACCACCACUCUUCCACACUCUCUUUAUUUACUUUCUUGCAUCUUUAUCUAAACAGCUCCUACUUUUUAUUUGCGUUCUCUUUAUUAUCUUGCAAACCUAUCCUAUCACACCUACAAAAUACUUCUAGUUUCAUACUUGUUCUAGGUAAAGCGAACGUCAAGCGUGCGUAGAGUCGUAUCAGUGGCCGAUAGGACUUGAGAGAGUAUUUGUUCUACCUUUAGCUCCUUGUUGGGUUCGACACUCUUACUUAUCGAAAGAGGUUACAACUAUCCCGUAUACUUGCGGGUUAUCAGACCUCUCUCUCCACUACUAGUGCGGCGCUAACCACUUGAUUCGUUGCCGCUAGAGAUAGCAGCAACGGUUCUUGUGCUUUGGGCGCAACCAGCACUGGGGUAGAGGAGGGGUACUUCUGUUGGAAAUAUGCCCUAGAGGCAAUAAUAAAAUGGUUAUUAUUGUAUUUCCUCGUUCAUGAUAAUUGUCUAUUGUUCAUGCUAUAAUUGUAUUAACUGGAAACCGUAAUACAUGUGUGAAUACAUAGACCACAACAUGUCCCUAGUGAUCCCUCUAGUUAACUAGCUCAUUGAUCAACAGAUGGUCAUGGUUUUCUGACCAUGGACAUUGAAUGUCAAAGAUAACGGGAUCAAAUCAUUAGGAGAAUGAUGUGAUGGACAAGACCCAAUCCUAAGCAUAGCACAAGAUCGUGUAGUUCGUUUGCUAAAGCUUUUCUAAUGUCAAGUAUCAUUUCCUUAGACCAUGAGAUCGUGUAACUGAAUAACGCCAUGUAAUUACUUUACUUCAUUGCUAAACCGUCAGCCAUAGUAGUAGACUUAAAAGUUGGCGAGACAACUACAUGGAGACACGAUGAUGGAGAUCAUGAUGAUGGAGAUUAUGGUGUUAUGCCGGUGACAAUGAUGAUCAUGGAGCCCCGAAGAUGGAGAUCAAAAGGAGCAAAAUGAUAUUGGCCAUAUCAUGUCACUAUUUGACUGCAUGUGAUGUUUAUCAUGUUUAUGCAUCUUACUUGCUUAGAAUGAGGGUAGUAAAUAAGAUGAUCCCUCAUAAUAAUUUCAAGAAAGUGUCCCCCCUAACUGUGCACCGUUGCGAAAGAUCAUUGCUUUGAAGCACUACGUGAUGAUCGGGUGUGACAGAUUCUAACGUUCACAUACAACGGGUGCAAGCCAGAUUUACACACGCCAAACACUUAGGUUGACUUGACGUGCCUAGCAUGUACAGACAUGGCCUUGGAACACAAGAGACCGAAAGGUCGAACAUGAGUCGUAUAGUAGAGACGAUCAACAUGAAGAUGUUCACCGAUGAUGACUAGUCCGUCUCACGUGAUGAUCGGACACGGCCUAGUUGACUCGGAUCAUGUAUCACUUAGAUGACUAGAGGGAUGUCUAUCUGAGUGGGAGUUCAUCAAAUAAUUUGAUUAGAUGAACUUAAUUAUCCUGAACAUAGUCAAAAGGUCUUUGCAAAUUAUGUCAUAUCUCGCGUUUUAGUUCUACUCUUUUAGAUAUGUUCCUAGAGAAAAUUUAGUUGAAAGUUGAUAGUAGCAAUUAUGCGAACUGGGUCCAUAAACUGAGGAUUGUCCUCAUUGCUGCAUAGAAGGCUUAUGUCCUUAAUGCACCGCUUGGUGUGCUGAACCUCGAAUGUCGUCUGUGGAUGUUGCGAACAUCUGACAUACAUGUUUUGAUGACUACGUGAUAGUUCAGUAAUGUUAAACAGUUUAGAAUUGAGGCGCUGAAGACGUUUUAGAAACGUCGCAGAACAUAUAAGCUGUUCCAAGGGCUGAAAUUGGGAUUUCAGGCUCGUGCCUCCGUCAAGAGGUAUAAGACCUCCGACGAGUUUCUUAGCCUACAAACUAAGGGAGAAAAGCUCAAUCAUUGAGCUUGUACUCAGAUUGUCUGGGUACAACAAUCACUUGAAUCGAGUGGGAGGCAAUCUUCCAGAUGAGAUAGUGAUGUUUCUCCAAAGUCACAUCCACCAAGCUAGUAGAGCUUCGUGAUGAACUAUAACAUAUCAGGGAUAGAUAUGAAGAUCCUUGAAAUAUUCGCGAUGUUUGACACCGCGAAAGUAGAAAUCAAGAAGGAGCAUCAAUUGUUGAUGGUUAGUGAAACCACUAGUUUCAAGAAGGGCAAGGGCAAGAAGGGAUACUUCAUGAAAUGGCAAGUCAGUUGCUGCUCUAGUGAAUAAACCCAAGGUUGAUCCCAAACCCGAGACUAAGUGAUUCUGUAAUGAGGGGAACCAUCACUGAAACAAAACUACCCUAAAUACUUGGUAGAGGAGAAGGCUGGCAAGGUAGAAAGAAGUAUAUUGGAUAUACGUUAUAUUAAUGUGUACUUUACUAGUACUCCUAGUAGCACCAUGGUAGUAGAUACCAGUUCAGUUGCUAAGUGUUAGUAACUCGAAAUAAAAGGCUACGGAAUAAACGGAGACUAGCUAAAGGUGAUAUGACGAUAUGUGUUGGAAGUGUUUCCAAGCUUGAUGUGAUCAAGCAUCGCAUACUCCCUCCACCAUAGAGAUCGGUGUUAAACCAAAAUAAUUGUUAUUUGGUGUUUGCAUUGAGCAUAGACAUGAUUAGAUUAUGUCUAUCGAAAUACGAUCAUUCAUUUAAGGAAAAUAAUGGUUACACUAUUUAUUUGAAUAAUACCUUCAAUGGUCUUGCACCUAAAAUGGGUUUAUUGAAUCUCGAUCGUAGUGAUACACAUGUUCAUGCCAAAAGAUAUAAGAUAGUAAUGAUAUAGUGCCACCUACUUAUGGCACUGCUUUUUGAGUCAUGCUAUAAAACGCAUGAAGAAGCUCCAUGUUGAUGGAUCUUUGGACUCAUUCAUUUUUGAAAAGAUUGAGACAUGUGAACCAUGUCUGUUGGAAUAUACGCAUGAAGAAACUCCAUGCAGAUGGAUUGUUUGGACUCACCUGAUUUUGAAUCAAUUGAGACAUGCAAAUCAUACCACAUGGGCAAGAUGACUGAAAGGCCUUGUUUUCAGUGAAAUGGAACAAGAAAGCAACUUGUUGGAAGUAAUACAUUUUGAUGUGUGCAGUCCAAUGAGUGCUGAGGCACGCAGUGGAUAUCAUUAUGUUCUUACUUCAGAGAUGAUUUGAGUAGAUUAUAAGUAUAUUUACUUGAUGAAACACAAGUCUGAAUUAUUGAAAGGUUCAAGUAAUUUUAGAGUGAAGUUGAAGAUCGUCGUGACAAGAGGAUAAAAUUUCUAUGGUAUGUUCAUAGAGAUGAAUAUCUGAGUUACGUGUUUGGGACACAAUUAAGACAUUGUGGAAACGGUUUCACAACUAAUAUCGCCUGGAACACCAUAGUGUGAUGGUGUGUCCGAACAUCAUAGAUGCACCCUAUUGGAUAUGGGGCAUACCAUGAUGUCUCUUAUCGAAUUACCACUAUCGUUCAUGGGUUAGGCAUUAGAGACAACUGAAUUCUCUUUAAUAGGGCACCACGUAAUUCUGUUGAGAUGACACCAUAUGAACUAUGGUUUAGAGAAACCUAAGCUAUCAUUUCUUAAAAGGUUUGGGGUUGCGAUGCUUAUGUGAAAAAUUUCAUGCUAAUAAGCUCGAUCCCCAAGCGGAUAAAUGCAUCUUAAUAGGACACCCAAAACAGUUGGGUAUACCUCCUAAUUCAGAUCUAGAAGCAAAAGUAAUUAUUUCUAGAAACAGGUCCUUUCUCGAGGAAAAGUUUCUCUCGAAAGAAUUGAGUGGGAGGAUGGUGGAGACUUGAUAAGGUUAUUUACCCAUCACUUCAACUAGUGUGUAGAUGGGCACAGGAAGUUGUUCCUGUGGCGCCUACACCAAUUGAAGUGGAAGCUCACGAUAGUGAUCAUGAAACUUUGGAUCAAGUCAAUACCAAACCUCGUAGGUCGACAAGGAUGCGUACGACUUUGGAGUGGUACGUAAUCCUGUCUUGUAGGUCAUGUUGCUAGACAACAAUGAACCUACGAGCUGUGGAGAAGCGAUGGUGGGCCCGGAUUCUGACAAUGGAUCGAGGCCAUAAAAUCUGAGAGAGGAUCCAUGUAUGAAAACAAAGUAUAGACUUUGGAAGAACUACUCGAUGGUCGUAAGGCUGUUGAGUACAGAAGGAUUUUAAAAGGAAGACGGACAAUGAUGGUAAGUGUCACCAUUAAGAAAGCUCGACUUAUUGCUAAGAUGUUUUCCGACAAGUUCAAAGAGUUGACUAUGAUGAGACUUUCUCACUCGUAGAGAUGCUAAGAGUCUGUUGGAAUUAUAUUAGCAAUUACUGCAUUAUUUAUGAAAUCUUGCAGAUAGGAUGUCAAAACAUUGUUUCCUCGAUGAUAUUGCUUGACGAAAGGUUGUAUGUGAUACAACCAGAAGGUUUUUUCAAUCCUAAAAGAUGCUAAUAAGUAUGCAAAGCUCCAGCAAUCCUUCUAAGGAUUGGAGUAAGCAUGUCAGAGUUGGAAUAUACACUUUGAUGGGAUGAUCAAAGAUUUUGGGUUUAUACAAAGUUUAUGAGAAACUUGUAUUUCCAAAGAAGUGAGUGGGAGCACUAUAGAAUUUCUGACGAGUAUAUGUUGUUGACAUAUUGUUGAUCAGAAAUGAUGUAGAAUUUCUAGAAAGCAUAUAGGGUUAUUUGAAAAGGGUUUUUCAAUGGAAAACCUGGAUUAAGCAACUUGAACAUUGGGCAUCAAGAUCUAUAAGGAUAGAUCAAAAAACACUUAAUAGUACUUUCAAAUGAAUACAUAUCGUGAUAAGUUUUUGAAGGAGUUCAAAAUAGAUCAGCAAAGAAGAAGUUCUUGGCUGUGUUAUAAGGUGUGUGUAUUGAGUAAGACUCAAGACCUGACCACGGCAUAAGAGAGAGAAAGGACGAAGGUCGUCCCCUAUGCUUUAGACAUAGGCUCUACAGUAUGCUAUGCUAUGUACCGCACCUGAAGUGUGCCUUGCCAUGAGUCAGUCAAGGGGUACAAGUGUGAUCAAGGAUUGGAUCACAGCACAACCGUCAAGGUUAUCCUUAGUAACUAGUGGACUAAGUAAUUUUCUCGAUAAUGGAGGUUAAGAGUUCGUCGUAAAGGGUUAUGCUGAUGCAAACUUUGACACUAAUCCGGAUAACUCUGAGUAGUAUACCGGAUUCGUAUAGUAGGACAGUUAUUUGGAAUAGCUCCAAAUAGCGCAUGGUAGCUGCAUCUAGGAGAUGACAUAGAGAUUUGUAAUACACACACGGAUCUGAAAGAUUCAGACCCGUUGACUAAUAACCUCUCUCACAAAUGAGAUAUGAUCAAACCCAAUGGGUGUUGGAUUAAUUACAAUCACAUAGUGAUGUGAACUAGAUUAUUGACUCUAGUGCAAGUGGGAGACUGUUGGAAAUAUGCCCUAGAGGCAAUAAUAAAAUGGUUAUUAUUGUAUUUCCUCGUUCAUGAUAAUUGUCUAUUGUUCAUGCUAUAACUGUAUUAACUGGAAACCGUAAUACAUGUGUGAAUACAUAGACCACAACAUUUCCCUAGUGAGCCUCUAGUUGACUAGCUCGUUGAUCAACAGAUGGUCAUGGUUUCCUGACCAUGGACAUUGAAUGUCAUUGAUAAUGGGAUCACAUCAUUAGGAGAAUGAUGUGAUGAACAAGACCCAAUCCUAAGCAUACCACAAGAUCGUGUAGUUUGUUUGCUAAAGCUUUUCUAAUGUCAAGUAUCAUUUCCUUAGACCAUGAGAUUGUGUAACUCCCUGAUACCGUAGGAGUGCUUUGGGUGUACCAAACGUCACAACGUAAUUGGGUGGCUAUAAAGGUGCACUACAUGUAUCUCCGAAAGUGUGUAUUGGGUUGGCACAAAUCGAGACUGGGAUUUGUCACUCCGUAUGACGGAGAGGUAUCUCUGGGCCCACUCGCUAAUGCAUCAUCAUAAUGAGCUCUAUGUGACUAAGUAGUUAGUCACUAGAUCAUGCAUUACGGAACGAGUAAAGUGACUUUCCGGUAACAAGAUUGAACGAGGUAUUGGGAUAUCGACGAUCGAAUCUCGGGCAAGUAACGUACCGAUUGACAAAGGGAAUUGCAUACGGGAUUGCUUGAAUCCUUGACAUCGUGGUUCAUCCGAUGAGAUCAUCGUGGAACAUGUGGGAGCCAACAUGGUUAUCCAGAUCCCGUUGUUGGUAAUUGGCCGGAGAGGUGUCUCGGUCAUGUCUGCAUGAUUCCCGAACCCGUAGGGUCUACACACUUAAGGUUCGAUGACACUAGGGUUAUAAAGGAAGUUUGUAUGUGGUUACCGAAUGAUGUUUGGAGUCCCGGAUGAGAACCCGGACGUCACGAGGAGUUCCGGAAUGGUCCGGAGGUAAAGAUUUAUAUAUGGGAAGUCUAAUUUCAGUCACCGGAAUAGUUUCGGGGGGCAAGUCUUCCCCUCCUGCCCCCCCCCUCUAGAUGGGAUCUAGAGGGGGCCGACCCCAUCUCCCCUUCCCCUAUAUAUAGUGGGGGUUUUGGGGCUGCCAAGCACAAGAGUUUCCCUCUCUCAUGGCGCAGCCCUACCCCUCUCCCUCCUCGUCUCUCGCAGUGCUUGGCGAAGCCCUGCUGGAGUGCCACGCUCCUCCAUCACCACCACGCCAUUGUGCUGCUGCUGGACGGAGUCUUCCUCAACCUCUCCCUCUGUCCUUGCUGGAUCAAGGCACAGGAGACGUCACCGGGCUGCACGUGUGUUGAACGCAGAGGCACCGUUGUUCGAUGCUUAGAUCGGAUUCGGCCGUGAUCUGAAUCGCUUCAUGAACGACUCCACCGACCGUGUUCUUGCAACGCUUCCGCAUGGCGAUCUUAAAGGGUAUGAAGAUACACUCCCCUCUCUCUUGUUGCUAGAAUCUCCAUAGAUUGAUCUUGGUGAUGCGUAGAAAAUUUUGAAUUUCUGCUACAUUACCCAACAACUUCUUCAAGUCUUGCAGCGCUGCGUCAGCCUCUGGGGUCCACUCCACUCGGCCAGUCUUCUCCAAGAUCUUGAAAAAGGGAAGGGCAUGCUUCGCGGACUUGGAGAUGAAUCUGCUCAUGGUUGCAAUGCAGCCAGUGAGCUGACGCACGUCCUUGAUCCGUUUGGGUGCCUCAAUCGGCUCGAUGGCCUUGAUCUUAUAUGGGUUUGCCUCAAUCCCGCGCUGCGACAAAAAGAACCCGAGAAGCUUGCCAGAUGGGACACCGAAGACACACUUCUCAAGGUUUAAUUUGAGGUUGAUCUUGCACAGGUUUCCAAAUGUUUCCUCCAUAUCUUGCACUAGUGUUGCUUUGUCCUUGGUUUUGACCACUAUGUCAUCCAUAUAAGCUUCCAUAUUUCUAUGUAUCUGGGGCUCAAAACCAAUUUUGACUGCUCUUGCAAAGGUUGAGCCAGCACUCUUCAACCCGAAAGGCAUCCGUAAAAAACAUACUUACCACAUGGGGUGAUGAAUGCUGACUUCUCCUCGUCCUCUUUUCUCAUGAAGAUCUGGUGGUACCCUGAAUAGGCGUCAAGGAAUGAUAACAUGUCACACCCAGCCGUGGAGCCAACAAUCUGGUCGAUGCACGGUAACGGUAAGGGAUCCUUUGGACAAGCCUUGUUGAUGUAUGUGUAAUCAAUACACAGUAUACACUUCCCAUUUGCCUUGCGCACCACUACCGGAUUGGCCAACCACGUCGGAUGGAAUACUCCUCUUACCAAGCCUGCCGCCUCUAGCUUUCUGAUCUCCUCCAUGAUGAACUCCUGCCUCUCUAGAGCUUGCUUCCUGACCUUCUGCUUGACGGGCCGCGCAUGAGGACAUACACCAAGAUGGUGCUCAAUCACUUCCCUGGGAACGCUACAAGGAAACCCCCUAUAAAGCAACAUAUAUUCUACAACAUUUUGAUUGUAUGUUGCAAAAUUCACAAUAGAUAUGGAUAAUAUGCAUUGUAGCAUAUGCGUUGUAGAUGUGUGCUCCACAACUCAAAGGAAAGAGCCCAACGUACUAACCUAGCCACUUGCCUAGCCCGGCCCAACUUGGCUUUCACGAUUAAUCUAGGUCAUUACCUUUCCUAGCCUCCCUAUUCCUCCUCUCGAUCCUAUAGGCUCCCACGCCGGUCGCCGCCCCUCGACCUACCUGCAUCCCGGAGCGCCGCCCCUCACCACUCCCCUGCGAUCCUCCGUCUAGGAAGGCCGCCCCUUACCACUCCCCCUGCGAUACUCCAUCCCAGUGCGCCGUCCCUAAUCAACAUUCCCCUGCGACCCUGCUUCCCGGCCCGCCGCCCCUCGUCACCACUUCCCAAUGACCAACUACGUCUGCUACCUCCGCACGAGGUCCUGCGGCUAUGGGCAGGGUUACCGCUACAACCACCCUCGUGAUCUCGCUGCCAUUGUGAGCUAGACCGUUUCUCUUCUCCCAAUUUUAUUUUCCCGAUCUUGCUCUGCUUGACUUCAGUAUAGUUGGGGAUUGCUAGUUACGACUUGCCAGUCCCUGAUAAUGACGGACAAGGUGAAUUAUAGAUGGUUUGGGCGGAGGGGAGCUUCUAUUUGAAGCCUUUUGCUGUGAUUCAAUUGAUUUAAGUUAUGUCUUAGCGGAGCAUGUCAUGAGCUCAUGCAAGUGAAAUUUGAUUAUGCAAUCGUUGGUUGCUUGAUUAUGUGAUUGACUGAUUGUAUAAUAAGGCUGCUUGUGUUAGUCCCGUGGUUGAUGAUGACGAUUCAAAGUUCCACUUUCUGCUUAUGGUGCCACUUGCUUAUGUUGUAGGCCUGAUCAGUCACUCCUUCAUAUGGUCAUAUUUAUUUUCGAGACUUAAGAGCAAGUUACAAUAUCAAAUUUCUCUAAUAAGUAAUAAUUACCUCCACUCAGUGCAGAGAAAUGCAAUUGCACUCAAGCACUGAAUAUGUUGCAAUGGAUGUGACACCAAAACUUUCUCCCUCUCUUUUAUUUGAGGCACAUUUCAGUAAGUUUUUUUUACAUAUUUUCAUUCUCUUAAAAGACCAUUUAGAUAUGUAUGUUCUCCGCUACUACAAACUAAGCAGCAGCUUGACAGCUUUUUGCAGCUCGGUCGAGUACGCCACUGCGACGCUGGGGGAGAAGUACAUCGGCGCAGGGCAUGGCAAGGCUGAGUAAUUGUUCAAUCUGAGAAGGACAUUAGCACUCAGAGCAGGCUUUCUCUCCAUUACAGUUGGAGUUCAAGAGCACAAGGUAAUCUGGUGAUGAGUCACUGUUGCUUGUCACAAAACUCUAGAAAUGUCAUUGAGUACCAUUUACCAUGAGCUAUGCUUGCCAUUUAAUAAGAUGUUUAUGUGAGCUUAAUGUCAUAUUAAAUUUUUCUUCUACGAAAGCAGAUUACUGCGUGUUCCCUAAAUACAGUAGAAGAGAAACAAAUCUUAUAAAACUACGCUGAGACGAGUUGUACUUAUUUAGUUAGGUGACAUGUUAGAUAAAAUUCUACACCUAUUACAACUUAUCUGACUUCUAUAUUUUUUAAAGAUAGUUGAACUAGAUUGUGUUCCAGGAAUACAAAACCAGGGAUGCUUUCCAUUUAUUAACUUGGCUUUUGGAAUUUGUUUGAUGUCCCCUUCUCCUAUUAUUAACAACAUAUACCUAUAGGGUUCUCUGUGCUAGUUUGCCAAAUCUAGACACUUCUUUUGUGGUCAAUGCUUCCUCUUUAUACUAUGCUUGCCUACAUGCGUAACAUAACUCCUUUAUUCUCUUGAUGUGCUUUUCCUUUUCAACGAAGAAUACACACCAUGGGGACAAAAUAAGUACAUUAGUAGCAUAUGGCAACUUUAUAAAUACUUCCAUGUUUAUGAUACAUCAUCAGGUCGUGUAUCGAUAGAUUGCAAAAAUAAAAAUAAAAAUAUAUUAACUAAAUCCAAAGAAUUUCCAUUCCAACAUGUCAAUUGUUUCUAACUUUAAUUAUUGGCAUGGUCCAUCUAUGGUGUCCUUUAAUUAUUAUUUAUUAGACCACAUUCAAUAUUGUUUUUUGGAUGCCUGCAACUUCCAACUAAUUAUAUCAGCAUAUAUAUAUAUAUAUAUAUGUGUGUGUGUGUGUGUGUGUGUGUGUAGUCUACAUCUGAUUUGUAUUUGUAGUCUACAAACAAGGCAUCCUGAUUAUUUGUUUGAACAUACUAAAGUCUUGUUUUCUCUGCCGUGUCUUCUCCUUUUCUUAAUAAUGUCACUGCCUUUGAUUUAUCUGCCCAGAUGUGCUAUUUUCUUAAUAACUUCCAUUAUUUCUUACCCCAUAUAUACUGGUAUGUCCUUUAAAUAGCAGGCAGCAACAUGUGUGAUGGCUACAACAUAACUCAAUGUUAGUUGGCUUAUAAUCUCUUAUCCCUUGAAAGACUUAGAAAAUGGCAUCUCAUGGGACAACAUAAGAGACCAUAUAGUAGAGGAAUAGAUUCAGGCAUGACAGGUCUUGGCCUCUCAACCUUUUCUGUUAUAUGUCAUGUUUCUAUUAAUUAGUUUGCUCGACAUGAUUCUGCCAAUGGACACUUUCAUUUUCUCUAACAGGCAGGAAUAAAAAUAUUUUUAAUGUGCAUAAAACAUCAUAGCAGAGAUGUAAGUUGUGAUCCUAAAUUUUAACUUGAUGGUGCUGAAAUUACUUAAUUCUGGGUAGUGCAUGUCGAUAUGGCACUUGUGAAAACUGAAGAUUUGGCACGGAGUCGCAAAAACUGCAAUACUCUUGGUAAUGCAGAUUUUUUUGCAUGGUAACCUUUGUAAGUGACUAAUAUCCUGGCUCUAUCACUUCUUGCAUCAUGUCAAUGCAUUGUGUGUUAACAGUUCAUUUUGUUUUUCUUUGUAGAUUCAAAAAAUAAAUGGAUGAUUAUAUGGGUGUGUGUGGCAAGUGUACUACAAUGAUGACGAUGUUCCUGUUCAUGAUGAUGAAGACAGAGGCUUUUUAAUUUUAGUUAAAUUGUAGGGAUGAUGUUCCUGUGAACGAUGUUCCUCGAUCAUGUUUUAGUUAAGUUGUAGGGAUGUUGAUGGAUGCUCCCAAUUUAAGUUUCACUGUCAAGUAACAUUUAGAUUACACAUCCCAUUUGGAUUUGGAUGAUUUUCCUUGUGUAAUAUCCACCAUUGUAAUCCAACAGUUUUAUCUAAUAUAUGAUUUCUUUCUUUCAUGAGUAUAUUCUCUUGUUUAUCUAAUAU